UUGUCUGCGAAAGCUCCCAUAGAGCUUAAACUCUGUGAGUUGUCGGUUCGAAUCUAUUAUUUAUUUUCUAAUUAGUAAAGCGAUAUCUCCGCUCUCAAUUAUAUCCUUUUUUUAUUAUUUAUAAAUCCACAGUAUUCAAAAAAUCACAACUAAACUCAUGCCUCUUUAAUGUUUACGAUUAUUAGGAAUAAUUCCUUCAGUUUAUUUCGGGUAGCCCUAAUGCAAUAAAAACCGAGUGGGAGCACUGCGGAUGAAAAGCAGCAAAUUUCUUUAGCAGUCCCUGAAAUGAUUCCAAACACACUACGGAGUUCAUGUGCUAUUUUUUCUUGCCAUUUUUAUGCCUUUUUAUGGUUCCACCUAAAAACUAUCGUCUAAUUAUCGCAUAGAAACGUGCGGAAGAGGAACGUCCCAGAUGAAUGAGAAACUGAGAAAUUUUCGGAACGGCAAAACAUUACGGACCAUCCCAGAAAUGGUUGGUCGCAUGAAUAGGCUACUCGAUUUAUUAGUGAGGGCGCGAAAGAAUAAUGUAUUAAGUUAAUGAAGAUAUAGUGUGUGAUGGCACGUGUAAAGUCUAACCACAACCGAGGAUCUGUGUCGUUAAGACCGAAAUUUGAUUACGAAAGCGAAAGUAUGUAUGUUGGUUGGCUGGCAAUCGGCGAAAGACUACCCAAUUAAAAGCCCACCGAAUUGUCCGUGCCAUAAUAAAAGUUAGAGAACGAAAAAAAGGAUAGAAAGAGAGCGCUAGAGCAGCGCGGGCUGCAGCUAAGCCGAGAACGAACGACAGGAACGAUGAAGCGGAUAGAGAGGCUAAAUUCUUUCCGGUAAACAAUGUUUACCUACAGUGGGCACGCAAAGAAACCUUUUCUACGCAAAGAAACAAUAAAGGAAUUAAAACACAAACUUUACCUCUCGAAAUAACAUUAAAAAAAUA